UGGGCCUUAAACAUCAUUUGUGUUGACAUUUUUUUUCUAAUUACUCCCCCUGCAGAUUUCAGCAAUGAGAAAUAGCCAGAAGAAAAGCUCUUGAGUAGUUGCACACCAUGGCUGCCAGCAGAAAUGUGUUACGCUUUGAGCAGAUCAUCUCAAGUCACUGUGCUUUAAAGUCAAGAGACAAGAGUGUUUGCACUGAAGCAUGAAGCAAGGUGCUGUCAAGGACUGCAUUAUGACUUUCUGCCUUCUGAGACCAGUUCCAAUUGUGCCCGAAGCCCCAAGAAUAAAACAAUUUUGGACUUUUCCAGGGCUCUACUAGCAGCACAUGCCAAGGCACUGUUUGCUGUCUGUGGGCAGACAAUGAAGAGUACAUGUUCCUCAGAGACUCCUGCGCAGAGUGCUCCAGUGGCACAGCGCCAGGGCCUCUCCUGCUGGUUUUCUUGGAGUUGGGGGUUCUGCUGCUCCACUACUCACCACCCUCACACACUGGUACAAGGGAUCACAGCAUGACAGAGGAUGUAGCUCAAAACUUCUUGUGAUGCUGCUGAAGAAGGGCCAGCUGGUCAAAAUCAGAUGUCUCCUGUUAGUAAAUUUUGUCAAAAUCAAGCAGUUUCUUGGACACCUUUCCAAGCUUUCUUGGGGUGAUCAACAUUAUCCUGCAUUCACCAAAAUGAAGAUAUGCAUUGCAGUGGGAAGACAUACUGGUACAAGAGGCAACAGUUCAGAGGAUUUCAUCCAGUCAAGGGUCAUGAUAAGAAACAAAACUCAUUGUUUAUGCAUGACAGUGUCCCACAGCCACAGAAAUAAAUCAUAUGAUGUGCACACCUAUUUGGACAAGAAUGCCAUACAUGCAGUUUCUUAUGUUUGGUUUAACCAAGAACGGGAAAAUUCUCUACUUCUUGUGUCUUCUUUGCAUCUAUAAGCAAAUUCGUUUAAAGCUCUAAAGCUUGAAAAAUAUUUUCUGUAUGCAGAUGUUUUGUUUUUUCACAAAUAACACUGCCACAGAUCUUCAAAUGGCAGAGUGUGUGGAGGCAGGCAUCUCCUCACUGAUGG
rnacentral:lncRNA from 1 species